UACGUAGGGGGCAAGCGUUGUCCGGAAUCAUUGGGCGUAAAGCGCGCGUAGGCGGCUUCGUAAGUCCGUUGUGAAAGUCAAAGGCUCAACCUUUGAAAGCCGAUGGAUACUGUGAAGCUAGAGUACGGAAGAGGCGAGUGGAAUUCCUGGUGUAGCGGUGGAAUGCGCAGAUAUCAGGAGGAACACCAAUAGCGAAGGCAGCUCGCUGGGACGUUACUGACACUGAGGCGCGAAAGCGUGGGGAGCGAACAGG
rnacentral:rRNA from 1 species